rnacentral:ribozyme from 1 species
UGUAAAACACAUAUUUGCAAUGGGAUAGGAUUCCGAAGCCCCUCCGAGGGAUAACAUGGGCACUCCUAUCCAACUCCCAUCCGUACAUGUCCCAGGUCGUGCAGAGUGGUAACUCGGGUCAUCGAAUAUCCUAGCUUGGGUACUAUGGUUUCGUUCUCAACCAGACGUAGCUCAACUCCAAAGUCUGAUUA